GAGUUUGAUCAUGGCUCAGAUUGAACGCUGGCGGAAUGCUUUACACAUGCAAGUCGAACGGCAGCAUAGAGAGCUUGCUCUCUGAUGGCGAGUGGCGAACGGGUGAGUAAUAUAUCGGAACGUGCCUAGUAAUGGGGAAUAACUAGCUGAAAGGUUAGCUAAUGCCGCAUACGACCUACGGGUGAAAGCAGGGGAUCUUCGGACCUUGCGUUAUUAGAGCGGCCGAUAUCUGAUUAGCUUGUUGGUGGGGUAAUGGCCUACCAAGGCGACGAUCAGUAGCUGGUCUGAGAGGACGAUCAGCCACACUGGAACUGAGACACGGUCCAGACUCCUACGGGAGGCAGCAGUGGGGAAUUUUGGACAAUGGGGGCAACCCUGAUCCAGCCAUUCCGCGUGAGUGAAGAAGGCCUUCGGGUUGUAAAGCUCUUUCGCAAGAGAAGAAAACUUGCUAUCUAAUAAAUAGUAAGUAUGACGGUAUCUUGACAAGAAGCACCGGCUAACUACGUGCCAACAGCCGCGGUAAUACGUAGGGUGCAAGCGUUAAUCGGAAUUACUGGGCGUAAAGCGUGCGCAGGCAGUUUUAUAAGUCAGAUGUGAAAUCCCCGAGCUCAAACUUGGGAACUGCGUUUGAAACU
rnacentral:rRNA from 1 species